UCCGUAGGUGAACCUGCGGAAGGAUCAUUAAUGAAUUACAAAAGCUUUUGAUGGUUGUUGUUGCUGGCCUUUUCGUCUGAAGGGACAUGUUGUGCACGCCUUGAUUCGUCUUCCACUUCUUACCCUUGUGCACUCUUUGAUAGGAUUUCGGCUUGUGGGGUGUAGUGCUUUGGUUUUUUUUCUUAAUUGAAAGGCCUUUGGUUUCCUUAAUCCUACUGUCUUAUACUCUACCACACACCUACUGUAUGUUUUGUAAUGAAUGGUUUAUAUUGCAUUAAGGCCAUGAGCCUUAUAAACUUAGUACAACUUUCAGCAACGGAUCUCUUGGCUCUCGCAUCGAUGAAGAACGCAGCGAAAUGCGAUAAGUAAUGUGAAUUGCAGAAUUCAGUGAAUCAUCGAAUCUUUGAACGCACCUUGCGCUCCUUUGGUAUUCCGAAGGAGCAUGCCUGUUUGAGUGUCAUUGAAUUCUCAAACUCUAUGACUUUCUUGUUGUAAUCUGAUUUGGAUUGUUGGAGGUUGUUUGCUGGGCUUCUUUCUUUGGUGUUCGGCUCCUCUUAAAUUUAUUAGCUUGGGCUCUUUGAUUGGCUCUGCGCUUUGGUGUGAUAAUUGUCUGCACCAUGCUGUGACGCUAUGCAUUUGGCUUUGAUAUGUGUCCUCGCUUUCUAAUCGUCUGGGGGGACAAUUACUUUGACCCUUUGACCUCAAAUCAGGUAGGACUACCCGCUGAACUUAAGCAUAUCAAUAAGCGGAGGAAAAAAAACUAACAAGGAUUCCCCUAAUAACUGGCAGGGAAGGGGGAAAAA
rnacentral:rRNA from 1 species